GGGGUCUUAGCUCAGCUGGGAGAGCAUCUGCCUUACAAGCAGAGGGUCACAGGUUCGAGCCCUGUAGGCCCCACUA
rnacentral:tRNA from 31 species